AAAAAUUCAUAUAUAUAUAUAUAUCAAUACAGCACAUAUUUGAAGACAAAAAUUGCAACUUCAACGCACAAGAAAUGCUAUAACAAUGUGGAAAGGCUUGGGAUAAAUUUGCAUUUCUUGACGACCUUCAUUCUUAUUGUCUUCUGUAGAAUUGCAUUGAAUCUCAGAAUUCUUUUCCAAUAAAAAUGAGAAGAUAUAUAAGGAGGUAUCUAAGCUAAAUCAAUGGCUAAAAUAAUUUGGUUCAUUUAAAAACCAGAUUGUGGCAGGUCUUGUCGCACGGGUAUGGGCAAUCGAUAGCCUCAACCCCGGAGCGAUCAAAAUACCAAUCUCCAACUGCAAUUGCAAUUGCCUUAUUUCCAAUAACAGGAGAAUCAUCUGCGAACCAUGUAUCUUGCCUUUCUGAUUGGCAGUGAGCAAAACAUGAAUUUAUAAACAAUCCAUUCUGUCUAGACAUUGAGAAGCCUCUUAUUGCACGCAGCAUUUGAUUCCUGAAUCCUGUUCCAGAGAAACAAAAGAAAGGCCCUAAAAAGUAUACUAAAUUCAUCAGUUACGUUUGCAGAAGCAAUCUAUCUUAUAUGAAAUUACCUUGUAGAAAUAGAAUUUGGGAUGCUGAACAUUUUGCAUGGUUCUUUCUGCAUUCACUCCAAUAGCCAUGGCGAUCUGCAGUUGGUGGAGCUAAGCUAGAUUGGAUCUGCCAUGAAUCAUAGGCUGCAUUGAGAAUGAAUAAUGGGGUUUUUACGUUGCUGAUUAUGUUCUGAGGGAAGAAGCACUGGACCAGAAGAAAAUCACAGAACAAAAAGGUAAAUUCCAGAGUUACUUCAUGCAUUCAAGGUUUUUAAUAAUGCCUGAAAAUAAUACAAGGAAGAAGGGAUUACUGAAGUUGGAUCAAGGUGGUUAGUGCAUAUGCGUGGCAGGCUAUUUCGCACCCCCUGCAAGCCCACCACACCACUGUACAUAUUUCUUAGAGUGCGGCCGCCAGAUACAUCAACUGCAUCAAGGAAUAAACCAGCAUCACUUAGGCACUUCACUCUAGUUGUUCUUGGAAACAUGUUCCUAAACUCAUCACAAUGUAAAAUUGAAGCAAGACCCCCUGCAGAGCACCCAGAAAGAAGAGCCUGGUUGGCAUAAUGCAUUCCCUUUGACAUUAAAUCUUCCAUUGCAGAUAACCAUAUACGUUGUCCUCUAAAUUGUAGUUGUGCUGCCUUAUUUUCACUAUCCCCAGCAAACGAGCCACCAUCACAGUAACGGAGUUUUACUCUGUUCCAGUUGAAAAAAUCAGGAUUUUCUUGAGGCUUAUUGCUUAGAAUUCCCAUAAAUGGCACCAGCUUUUCCAUGUAUCUGGAUGAACCACGCCGGGUUUUUUUGCGGUAAACACAGUUUCUAAUGUUAUUGCACCAUCCUCCUCCCUCUAAUUGAAUGAGCCAACUAUUAGCUCCAGAGUCGUAUCCUCUAUGCAAAUGGUAGCCAGGCAAUGUUCCAUCCAAACAGACUGCUCCUCUUGCACCAGCUCCUUGAAUGAGAGUAAGUCCUACCAUGAGAGCAUUAUUAAUGAGCUUAGAUUCAUUAAAAUAACCAUAAGCUUCAUGUCCAGUGUAAAAUAACUCAGUCUCAUUGAAUUCAAGAAACCCAUCCACCCAUUUCCCAAAAACAGAAACCAAAGCAACUAAAACCCACAAAAGCUUCCCCAUUUGCCCCCCUCUCUCUCUCUUUCUUCUGUCACAAAUUUUCUGGCUCACAAAUCUUGAAAAAUGAAAAGGAAAAAUACAGAAAGCUAAAACUUUGCCUAACAGUCUGCCAUUAUUAGUAAUAGAUCGUAUUUAUCUUCAAAAUCUGCUAGCGUUUAGGUUGAAAACUAAAUAUAGGAAAAAUAAAUCACAGCUCUAAUGAGAUUCAGAAAUGUAGAGAGAGAGAGAGGGAGAUAAAGAGAGAGAAAGAGAGAGAGUGUGUGUGUCAGAUGGAACUCGAAAGCCUUUCUUUGAAUUUGCUAGAAGUUUUUUUCGCUGCAAAAUCAAUAAAGAGUAAAGAUUUGAAAACUUGUUCCUUGAUUUUUAACCUCCAAUCUGGCGAAACUGCCGCAGUUUCAAAGCAUCACUGCCCCAUUGCACUCGUCUGAGGACAAAGAACCCCCAACAAGUGACGGCAUUGCUCGUCGAAUCCAAUAACCAUGGCAUAGUCUGUAAAGAAUAAUAGUGCUAAAGGCAGUUGUGG
rnacentral:misc_RNA from 1 species